AAGUCGUAACAAGGUAACCGUAGGUGAACCUGCGGUUGGAUCAUUAACAAAAGUGCCUAGGGUUUUGCCCUUGGCUUAAUGGGACUAGCUGAAAGGCAAAGUCUCUCUUACCUUUUGUGAACAGUUUAUUGUCUCUGGUAGAAAAUGUGCUAGUACUGGAAGUAUGAAGGGACUAGUGCACGCCUACCAGUAAUCAACCUUGAGUUUUAUCUAGUCUUAACUACUUGAAAAAGUAAACAACUUUUGACAAUGGAUCUCUUGGCUCUU
rnacentral:misc_RNA from 1 species